GACGAACGCUGGCGGCGUGCUUAACACAUGCAAGUCGAACGGAAAGGCCCUGCCUUUGUGGGGUGCUCGAGUGGCGAACGGGUGAGUAACACGUGAGUAACCUGCCCUUGACUUUGGGAUAACUUCAGGAAACUGGGGCUAAUACCGGAUAGGAGCUCCUGCUGCAUGGUGGGGGUUGGAAAGUUUCGGCGGUUGGGGAUGGACUCGCGGCUUAUCAGCUUGUUGGUGGGGUAGUGGCUUACCAAGGCUUUGACGGGUAGCCGGCCUGAGAGGGUGACCGGCCACAUUGGGACUGAGAUACGGCCCAGACUCCUACGGGAGGCAGCAGUGGGGAAUAUUGCACAAUGGGCGGAAGCCUGAUGCAGCAACGCCGCGUGCGGGAUGACGGCCUUCGGGUUGUAAACCGCUUUCGCCUGUGACGAAGCGUGAGUGACGGUAAUGGGUAAAGAAGCACCGGCUAACUACGU
rnacentral:rRNA from 1 species